rnacentral:rRNA from 1 species
UACGUAGGUGACAAGCGUUGUCCGGAUUUAUUGGGCGUAAAGAGCGCGCAGGCGGUCGUUCAAGUCGAGUGUGAAAGCCCCCGGCUCAACUGGGGAGGGUCACUCGAUACUGAUCGACUCGAAGGCAGGAGAGGGUAGUGGAAUUCCCGGUGUAGUGGUGAAAUGCGUAGAUAUCAGGAGGAACACCAACAGCGAAGGCAGCACUCUGGGCCGGUACUGACGCUGAGGAGCGAAAGCAUGGGGAGCGAACAGG